UAGCUCAGUUGGGAGAGCGUCAGUCUGAGAAUCUGAAGGCCC
rnacentral:tRNA from 1 species